rnacentral:rRNA from 1 species
CCUACGGGUGGCUGCAGUGGGGAAUAUUGCACAAUGGGGGAAACCCUGAUGCAGCGACGCCGCGUGAGUGAAGAAGUAUUUCGGUAUGUAAAGCUCUAUCAGUAGGGAAGUAAUAGCGACCUUUGGGUCGCCAGACGGUACCUGAUUAAGAAGCCCCGGCUAACUACGUGCCAGCAGCCGCGGUAAUACGUAGGGGGCAAGCGCUAUCCGGAUUUACUGGGUGUAAAGGGAGCGUAGACGGCAGCGCAAGUCUGAAGUGAAAUGCCGGGGCUCAACCCCGGAACUGCUUUGGAAACUGUGCAGCUAGAGUGCAGGAGAGGUGAGUGGAAUUCGUAGUGUAGCGGUGAAAUGCGUAGAUAUUAGGAAGAACACCAGUGGCGAAGGCGGCUUACUGGACUGUAACUGACGUUGAGGCUCGAAAGCGUGGGGAGCAAACAGGAUUAGAUACCCUUGUAGUC